rnacentral:tRNA from 1 species
UAUAUAGUUUAAAAAAAAACAUUAUAUUUUCAAUAUAAAAAUAAUUAAAUUUAAUUUAUAAAUA